CUUCUCCUCCCUCUCCUCCUACUGAUCUCUCGUCCCUCCUCUCCACCCUUCCAGCCCUGACCCAUCCUACCAUCCCCGCCCCUACUACUCAUAUCCCUCCCCCUACAACUGCCGACUCUUCUUCUCCUCCCUCUCCUCCUACUGAUCUCUCAUCCCUCCUCUCCGCCCUUUCAGCCCUGACCCAUCCUACCAUCCCCGCCCCUAGUACUCCUAUCCCUCCCCCUACAACUGCCGACUCUUCUUCUCCUCCCUCUCCUCCUACUGAUCUCUCGUCCC